GUCGAGCGGACAGAUGGGAGCUUGCUCCCUGAUGUUAGCGGCGGACGGGUGAGUAACACGUGGGUAACCUGCCUGUAAGACUGGGAUAACUCCGGGAAACCGGGGCUAAUACCGGAUGGUUGUUUGAACCGCAUGGUUCAAACAUAAAAGGUGGCUUCGGCUACCACUUACAGAUGGACCCGCGGCGCAUUAGCUAGUUGGUGAGGUAACGGCUCACCAAGGCGACGAUGCGUAGCCGACCUGAGAGGGUGAUCGGCCACACUGGGACUGAGACACGGCCCAGACUCCUACGGGAGGCAGCAGUAGGGAAUCUUCCGCAAUGGACGAAAGUCUGACGGAGCAACGCCGCGUGAGUGAUGAAGGUUUUCGGAUCGUAAAGCUCUGUUGUUAGGGAAGAACAAGUACCGUUCGAAUAGGGCGGUACCUUGACGGUACCUAACCAGAAAGCCACGGCUAACUACGUGCCAGCAGCCGCGGUAAUACGUAGGUGGCAAGCGUUGUCCGGAAUUAUUGGGCGUAAAGGGCUCGCAGGCGGUUUCUUAAGUCUGAUGUGAAAGCCCCCGGCUCAACCGGGGAGGGUCAUUGGAAACUGGGGAACUUGAGUGCAGAAGAGGAGAGUGGAAUUUCCACGUGUAGCGGUGAAAUGCGUAGAGAUGUGGAGGAACACCAGUGGCGAAGGCGACUCUCUGGUCUGUAACUGACGCUGAGGAGCGAAAGCGUGGGGAGCGAACAGGAUUAGAUACCCUGGUAGUCCACGCCGUAAACGAUGAGUGCUAAGUGUUAGGGGGUUUCCGCCCCUUAGUGCUGCAGCUAACGCAUUAAGCACUCCGCCUGGGGAGUACGGUCGCAAGACUGAAACUCAAAGGAAUUGACGGGGGCCCGCACAAGCGGUGGAGCAUGUGGUUUAAUUCGAAGCAACGCGAAGAACCUUACCAGGUCUUGACAUCCUCUGACAAUCCUAGAGAUAGGACGUCCCCUUCGGGGGCAGAGUGACAGGUGGUGCAUGGUUGUCGUCAGCUCGUGUCGUGAGAUGUUGGGUUAAGUCCCGCAACGAGCGCAACCCUUGAUCUUAGUUGCCAGCAUUCAGUUGGGCACUCUAAGGUGACUGCCGGUGACAAACCGGAGGAAGGUGGGGAUGACGUCAAAUCAUCAUGCCCCUUAUGACCUGGGCUACACACGUGCUACA
rnacentral:rRNA from 1 species